GGCGCUAUAGCCAAGUGGUUACGGCGACAGAUUAGAACGGGAACUGUUCGUUCAUAUGAUCUGUUCCUCUUUGAGGGCGCAGGUUCAAAUCCUGCUGGCGUCG